GGGGGCUAGUAGAGGUAGAAGCUGAGGAAGAAGCUAACAGAAGCGGAUGUAGAAGCUGAUGUACAAGGUUCCUGAAUAAACUGCUUGAAGAAGCGUCGUGGUCGUGUUUCUCUUGGUGGUCGAGAUAGACGCGACGAGAAUGGUCACCUAAGGAUGUGGAAGAGGAUAGGAAUGCAGGGAAGAGCCCUCAUCCAGCGGCUGAUAGAAGCAGAAGCAAACAUCCCACAGGAAUUCAUCUCUAGUGGCAUUCACCAAGUGGCCUGAAGUCUACCAACUUUUAUUGUUACAUACCAGAAGAAAUGAGAUUUGCAUAUAUGAUCACAGGACUAAGGGCCCCAUAAUGCCUUAGCUGGAUAGAGUACCAAAGAAGUCUCUGACAUUGUAACUGAGGUGCCUGAUUAGCAAUUACACACUGAAGAAAUGAGGCAUCAUUGCCAUAGUAUGGGGUACAUUCUAAAACAGCCAUCAUUGUUGUAUGAAUCAAAGUCUUUCCUUGGUGGAAUACCUGAUGUGGGUCAGAGAGUGCUAGGGUUGAGGUAGGGUGGUCCUGCUUACUACUCAUUGCAGAGGAGUGUGUGGUGAAUGUCUGCUUUCUCCCCGACAACACUGCAGGCUUUGAUGCCCUGGCUUCACAGGAGAAAACAGCACAUGUCCAUUAAACAAUCAGCCAUGAUUAUCACAUGGCCAUGCUGGUCUUCUUGCACAAACUUACAGUCAGAAAGCAAGGAAUAGUCACCUUUCUUCAAGGUGUAAGUAAUCUGUCACUGAGACAACAGUUGGAUUCCUUUUGGGCAGGCAAGAACAUGCUCCACAUUCAAAAGAUCAGGAAGCAUUUUGCUUAUACCGUUUCUGUGUUUGGAAUACAAAAUAUGCAAGUGCAAUGGCCACAACCCUAUAAGAACAUAGCUUGGGGCAGCUAUGAUGGCUCCAGAUGAUCUGAGUUAACCCUCUACAUCAACCAUCAAAGCCAGAAGAGACAUGGCCUGAAGGAAACAGAGUAGUUAGAAUGAAGAAACUUUGCUUUUCAGAUCAGCUGUAGGAAUAAGGAUAAUAAUUUAUUCAAUGAUUUGUCCUCUUGCAUAUCUUGUUAGGAAAAGAGACCAAACAGAGCCUGAAAGAAUUGCUCCUGUGUGGGUUGGAUUCAUAGAAGCAGACAGACAUGAUUAGGUCUGUUAGGAUGAUAUGGCCAUAGACUGCUAGAAGGGGAGAGGAUAGUUUUCUUUAAUGGUAUAAUACCUGGUAUACCAAUCAUGUAGAUGCCCAGCAUAAAUUGAACUUACGGAUUUAAAAAAAAAAGAGAGAUAGAGAGGAGAGAAAGGAAGAAAGAGAAGGUGAGAGGGAAAAUAAUGGUGGAGAGAGGGGAAAGGAGGUGGAGGGAAGGAGGAAGAGAACAAAUGAAAUAAGGUGGGUAAGGAGGUGGAGGAAGAGGAGGGCCUCUGAUCGCAACUGUAUGGUUUCCCUAAACUCCCUAGCUCCUUUACAGGUGUUUUUGUCACAUGGUCUCUGUUAAACCUCCUAUACAGUGAUGUCAUCUGAGGAAUGUUUCUUGAAGGGGCACACUGCCAGGUAUACACAGUGAUAUGAUAUUUCAACAGGAAGCAACUUGCUACAUUUUUAAAGAAGCAGAUUUCAGAUGCAGAACAGAGACACAACUGACUAAAUUCAUUCCUAAAGCCAUGUAAUCAGACACCCACAGCAAAAGGAGGAUUUUACUAUAUUAAUCUUCCUUUAGUUUCUGUUCUGAAAUCAAGCCACUGAAAAGCUCUGAUUCCCUUGGGCCAAUUUCCUUUCUUCACAAGUAGAGUUCCUUAUGAGAUUUAGCUCAUCUGUCUCUUUUUUCUAAUUUAGUCUCACCACCCCCAAAUGCUGGCUCUAUCAGAAGGUAUUAACACCAGAGUAGCAAGAGAAACAAACAAAACAAACUUGGCUUCUUUUUUUCUAAAUACCCUAUAGGAAGUUGUAAAAGGAUUCAUGCAUAACAAUAAAAUGUAAAUUUAGGUACUGUUUUGGGUUUUCUCCAAUUGCUGCCUGAGCCUGGAAAACAACAGGCUUUAUUUUUUUCUUUCCUGAAAUUCAUUGUAGCUCAAACAUAAAAUUCUUGUUAUACCAUUGUUAAUUGACAUUGCAGGAGCAUACCUAAUGACUUUUUCAAUAAAGAAAUAAACACCUCUUGUGCAAAGGGAGGGUAAAAUAAUAUCAGUAGGAGAGAAUAUUUUAACAAAUGAGUCAAGGUUGGGAUUUGGAUGUUCUAAGUUAUUUUAUUUAGAUUUCCACUGACAUUAUUGAUCUGUAGAAUUUGCAAACGAAAAUGUGGCAGCACUAUGACAAAGACAUACCAGAGUAAUUGGGG
ensembl:lncRNA